GCCGGGCGUAGUGGUGUGCGCCUGUAAUCCCAGCUACUCAGGAGGCUGAGGCAGGAGAAUCACUUGAACCUGGGAGACAGAGGUUGCAGUGAGCUGAGAUCGCACCACUGCACUCCAGCCUGGGCAACAGAGUGAGACUCUGUCUCAA
rnacentral:SRP_RNA from 1 species